rnacentral:lncRNA from 1 species
GAGGGACUUCUUUUCGGACGAUCUGUGAGAGCAAAGCAGACAAGAUGUAGGCAGGGGACUGAUAGUUCUGGUGGCGGAAUCCACCACUGGAAGAUUUCGAACAUAGAAUAGUUGAUGAAUUUAGGAUGAUAGAGUCCGUGCCCAGCGAUUGUGUGAUCUGUUGAUUCUAAACUAAGAUUGUCGGGUGUAUUCCAUUCUGCAACGAUUCAACUGAGCGCCAGUGAAAGCUCCUGCUUCCUGACCUGCUUGAGUUCCAGUCUUGACUUCCUUUGGUGAUGAACAGCAAUGUGGAAAAUCUCCACUGGAUGCGGGACUAUUUUUCAAAAUUAAAGUGACCAACACUGGAGAUAAAGUAGUUGGGAUUAAACCUGAAGGCUUAUUUCACCACACUAAAGGAAAGAAAGACCACUGUAUUGUGUCUUACGAAGGCCAUGGUAGGAGGAUGGAGUGUCUGCUGAUCUAUAUGAACAAGGAGCGGCUGGAAAACCAGAAACGUAACUUCUGGAAGUUGGAGCUAUCCAUCUGGCUUACUUACUGAGAACUGUAGGCACCCGCACUGCAAGCAUUAUUUAUAUACUAAGUAAUGCAUUUAAGAUUUAUGAGGAAUGAGAAGUCACACCACACCUAGAAGGGUGUGAACACGGAAUGCCUGCACUCAGGGAGAGAUCUGCGUCAGCUGUAUUUUUGAUCAAAAGUUGUUCCCAUAGUGACAACACUCUCCCCCUUAUCAGUAUUUCUUCUUGUUACUUGGUUACCAAAAUAUGAAAUGAAUACUGAAUGCAGGUCAUGAGCAUGAGAGCGAAUAUAAAGCUAACUAGUUAUCUAGGUCUAACUCUGUCAUGAUUUUUCUUUAUAUUUUUGGUGGUGGUUAAAUACAUAAAUAUAUUCAGUGGUCUAAGUAUAGAACCCAAUAUGAAGCCCACAGCCUCCAAAUGCCUAUUGUAACUUCCCAGAAGUUCACUGAGGUAUACAAACCUUAGGUCUAAUAAAUUCACUGUGUAAUUUUUUUAUUUACAUAAUUGUUAAAAUAAAAUUUAUUAAAAUGUA